ACAUCCGAUGCUAUUUCUAGAGAUAGAAAGUUAUCGUACAUCGUGACAGGUGGUGCAUGGUUGUCGUCAGCUCGUGUCGUGAGAUGUUGGGUUAAGUCCCGCAACGAGCGCAACCCCUAUUGUUAGUUGCCAUCAUUCAGUUGGGCACUCUAGCGAGACUGCCGGUAAUAAACCGGAGGAAGGUGGGGAUGACGUCAAAUCAUCAUGCCCCUUAUGACCUGGGCUACACACGUGCUACAAUGGUUGGUACAACGAGUUGCGAGUCGGUGACGGCGAGCUAAUCUCUUAAAGCCAAUCUCAGUUCGGAUUGUAGGCUGCAACUCGCCUACAUGAAGUCGGAAUCGCUAGUAAUCGCGGAUCAGCACGCCGCGGUGAAUACGUUCCCGGGCCUU
rnacentral:rRNA from 1 species